GAUGAACGCUAGCGGCAGGCCUAAUACAUGCAAGUCGGACGGGAUUGGAGAGCUUGCUUUCCAUGAGAGUGGCGCACGGGUGCGUAACACGUAUGUAACCUACCUUGUUCAGGGGGAUAGCCUCUCGAAAGAGAGAUUAAGACCGCAUAACAUUGCGAUGUGGCAUCACAUUGUAAUCCAAUAUUUAUAGGAACAAGAUGGGCAUGCGGAACAUUAGCUAGUUGGUAAGGUAACGGAUUACCAAGGCUACGAUGUUUAGGGGAUCGGAGAGGAUGACCCCCCACACUGGUACUGAGACACGGACCAGACUCCUACGGGAGGCAGCAGUAAGGAAUAUUGGUCAAUGGGCGGAAGCCUGAACCAGCCAUGCCGCGUGCAGGAAGACGGCCCUAUGGGUUGUAAACUGCUUUUGCAGGGGAAUAAACCUUGGUACGUGUACCAAGCUGAAUGUACUCUGAGAAUAAGGAUCGGCUAACUCCGUGCCAGCAGCCGCAGUAA
rnacentral:rRNA from 1 species